UAUAUAAUUGAGAGUAAAGGGCAUUUUUAUUAUAUUUAAGGUAACUUUUUUUAUUGUUGCCAGCUGACCAAGAUCGAAAGAGUGGGUUGAUUCGGUUUUAAAGUAUUCCGUCAUAGGAAGCUGAAAGACCUCAUGAACAGCAGGACAGAAAGGAUUGUUAAAUAUUUAAAUAUGUGAAAUUUAUGAAAAUAUAUAUGGAUAUAGACUUUUGUAAUAAAGUGUGUAUUAUUUAA